ACUCCUACGGGAGGCUGCAGUAACGAAUCUUCCGCAAUGGGCGAAAGCCUGACGGAGCAAUGCCGCGUGUGGGAUGAAGCAUCUCUGGUGUGUAAACCACUGUCAGGGGACGGAACCAAUGAUUGUCCCCAGAGGAAGUGGCGACUAACUCUGUGCCAGCAGCCGCGGUAAU
rnacentral:rRNA from 1 species